UCCUCAUUCUCAGUCCUUCCAGAACAUUCUGACCUUGGCUACCGCGGGUGCUAUUGGGAGCAGCAGCCUUCACUGUGGAGGGAAGCUCAGGCUGUGUCUCUGAGCUCCACAGCCGCACAAGCCCUGGGUCCUCUGCCAUGAGGUAUGGUGCUGCCAGCAGCAGGGGCCAGGCAGGGGCCGAGGAACGGGCACACCAGGCAGGCAGACAAGUGCAGGCCCUCCGGCUCCUCAGGAAUCUACAUGUGCUCAGAAGGCGGUGGGUAAGUUCUCCAUGGUACCAGGCUCUGAGCAAUGCCCCGUGCGACGGCAGAGCUUUUCUCAUGACUCCAGACCUGCGCCCUGCCACGGUCCCCUUCUCACGCUGGUGCAGGUCCUGAGGUCCCGCCCAGAGCACGCCGGGAGAGACUGGGAGUGGGGUGUUGGCCGAACCCCUUCUGGGAGGGCCACACGUUCCCGCAGUGCUUCUGGUCACUGUGGGCCCCCUCCCUCCUGGUGUGCUGGCUGGAAGGGCAGGGCUGUGACGCGGACAGAAGCGGGAGUCGCAGCCCAGACCCAUGGUCACUUCCAGAACAGAGGUGGGCCCGGCACGUGCUACAUGUCUUCUGCCCAAGUUUUUAUACUUUUUCCCCGGUCCUGUUUACUUUGGACUGCUGUUAAAUUCCAAGCAUAUCCUGAGCACAAGAGAGGUGGGAAUUCGGGCUCCAGCCAGGGGCCUGCGUCGGAGCCUCCUGCCCCAGCACCCCUGCUCCUUGUCUGGCACCUCCAGUGUGGCCCUGUCUGUGGUUCCCCCACCAGCCCAGCCUACUCUGAGGUCCCCCCAGAGUGCCAGCGUCCGGCUUCUCAGGUGCCGGCCUGAGCCCUGCGCUCCUCUGCUCUGCGCCUCUACUCUGGCCGCUGCCUGUGCAGGUGUAGCCUGCAGCGCCUGCUGUCCUCUCCUGGAAGCUCCGGGCCACACCCCCACAGGCGGGCCCUGAAGGCGGCUGGAGCCGGGCACAGCCUCAGAAGGUCCCUGAAGGCAGAGCCUCAGCUGUCCAUGGAAGUGGCCAACUCACUUUCAGCCUGGCAUGGCGGAGCACACCUGUGAUCCCCAUAUUCGGGAGGCUGAAGCAGGAAGAUUGCCAUGAAUCCAAGGCCAGCCUGGGCUACACAGCGAGACCGUGUGUCAAAGCAUCUUUGGGGGCAGGACCCCUUCCCUCUGGCCCCGUGACCCCUCUCCCUCCCUGGAAUGCUUCAGCACAGCAGAGCUUCCCACUUGGAGCCCUGCCUUGGGCUCAGGCAGCCCAGGAGCUCUUCCUACGUGGCUGCCUGAAGUAUGUGCCCUGACCACUCAGCACUUCCUGCACACUUUAUGCUGAAGACGGGAUAAAGUGCCAGUGGUGAGGAUGAAGGGAUGUGAGCGAGCCAGCGAGCAGUUGUUUGUGCAGCCAGGUGCCCAGCUCUUCCCAGGCCGGGCACAGCCAAGGGUGACUCACUGGUGUCAGAGCCCCGUGUUCUGGCCCCGGGCCCGGCCCUGAAGAUGGGCGAUCUGGAAAUCAGGACGUGGGGCUCAUGUCGGUCACAAGGGCACCUGUUCUGUAAGAGCUCAUCGAGGACACCUGCCAGGCUGGUGUCACCUGGACUGGUGCAUGUGUUGAGCCUCCCCCAGGUUUCAGGGCAAGCACUCAGAAAUUGCUGUUUCAAGGGUGAGGAAGAGUGGGCUGGGCUCACACUGGGCAUUGGACAGUAGGCCCUCGGGCUGGGCGGGAGCAGAUGGGAGAGGACGUCUGUACUAGAUCCAUACAGGGUUCUGCCAGGGGAAUGGGGUGACAGAAGGUGAAUUCUGGGAAGAGGGUGGGACGUGCACCUUUGGGAUGUCCCGGGGAGAGCCUGGCAUGGCCUCUUGGUUUCUGUCUCACCCUCUAUAGGCCCUGUCUCCGUGUCCUCGGUGUCUGGACCUGUAAACACCAUUCCCAGAAGGCUGCAGAAGUAGGAGGGCAGUGGGGCCUCCAGAGGGUCCCUGUCCCCCGACACCUCAUCUCCUCCCAGGGUCUGGCUUUUCUGUCCGGAUGCCCGGCUCCCUGAGGCUGUGUUUGGUCUCUGUUGGUCACCAGCUUGGAGGACUUGCCACACCAGAAGAUGCAUUCCAGGCCACAGGGCCCCAAGUGGUGGAGGAAUGGGGUCCCAGGGCUCUUGCUCCAGAAGUUCGGGGUCACCCAGACCAGCUUCCCAACCCUGCCCUUAAGCUGGCACCUGGGAAGCUGUGGGCAUGGCUCCCUGGGGGGGGGCACAGUAGGGAGGACACAAACAGGCACACAGUCACCUUGCUUGGAAAAAAAUCCCCUUGGCAUGGCUGUCGAUCAGUAUGGUGGAGAAGAGAGGUGUGGGUGCCCCACUAUGCGUGUGAGGUGCAGGCUGCUGCUGGGGAGGGCACCCCAGGGCCACGGAGUGUGGGGAGCUCCAGGGCACAGUGGGGAGCUGGCGCCCCCGGAACCCCUGCUGUGUGCACAGAUGUCAUGUGUGUCACACGCAGAGGUGUGUGCCUCGUGUGUAUGGGCGGCCUGUGCCUGCGAGUGUGGGCAGGUGUACGUGUGCGUGCAGGGGAGUGGGCGCGCAUGCGUGAGAGGAUGGGCCCUGGUCCUGUCAGCCUGGCUUGGGAGAGCAUCAGCCUGACCUGAGCCGCACCCUGGCCUUCCUUCUAGGAAGUCAGUCACCCCUCCUGAAAACCCCGACUUCCUGCUGGUCCCCACCAUCAUGUUUGCCUGGACACCCAGCCUGGUGCUGGCCCAGACCCUGGACUGUGGCUGGAGGUGGCUGCUCCAUCUUGGGGGACGUCGGGCAGCCUCCCGGCCCUGAGCACAGCGGCAUCGUACACAGCUAGUGCUGGCUGGCCAGCCAUGGUGUGCCCGGGGGCAGGAGUCUGAAGUCACAGCAAGAAGGUGGGCUGGGAGCGCGGCUAGAACAUAUGCCGAGGCUGGGCGGCCUCAGUGGUCAGACCCACCGGACGUGCAGAGGGCAUCCCUUUACAGGAAGCCGAUGGAUUGCCAGGUGCCUCCUGGCCUUGUGCACUCGUACAUGCAGCCCCCACCAUGGCCACAGCCGUUUGGGUCCCCUUCCGUUCCUCCUGUCUUACCAAACCCUCCCCUUCCCACACCAUCAUCUUCUACCCAGCAUCCACCUGGAUCCUUGGAAAGUUCAGAUCAGUCUACACCACAUUUCCUCACUUCCCAUUCCCCAGUGGCCCUCUUCUCUGGAACAGGUGUGCACACACACACACACCCCUGCUCCUGUCCUGGACUCCUGCUGAGUUCUGACCAACAUGGGGCCGGCUGACACGGUUCGUGCCAAGUACAGCACCCAGUGGUGCAGGCAGGGCACACCGGGGGACGAGCGGCCAGUGGGUGAUGUGUACCUGGGUGGGGAGCUCCGUGACCACCGAGGACCCCGCCUGCCAGCUCCCUCCCUGAGCCUGUGUGGGCGGUAACGGGCACCCCUGGGUGGAGCCCACACGGACUCCCUCAGACUGACCGGCGCAUGGCUGGCUCCUUUCCCUGCUGCCGGGAGCCUCCCCAGGGCCCCGCAGCUUCUCUGCCUUACAUUUUGCACACACCCUUUGGACCUGUGUCAUCCCAGUGCCCUGCGAGGCUAAGGCAGGAGCACUGGGAGCUUGGGCCAAGCCUGGGCAAGAAGUUACUCAGUGAGACCCCGUCUCAAAAACAAACAAAAAGGCUGGGGCUGUAGCGCGGUGCAGAGGCGCUAGAUUUGACUCCCAGUAGAGGAAAUGGGGGGUGGGGCUGGUAAAGCACAGCUCAGGCCUCCCAUCCUGAACCCUUCUCCUGCCUGCCUUGGGGCUGGGGCCGCAGAAGAGCCCAGGACGCCCCCGCCUCCUCACUGUGGCCCCAGAUGGGCUCUGGUCCUGCUGGAGGGCACCUCGAGGCUGGCACCUCGUGCGGAUGGCACCCUCCCUCCUAUGUCAGUCUCCGACGAUGCCACGGCCAGAUGAGCCAGAGAGCUCUGCAGCUCCCCUGGAAGGCGGACCCCAGAUGGGGACGCCCGCUCUUCUGUGCAAGGCCCGGGGUGUCCAGAUCCCUGCCCUCGGGCCUGCACCCGGCCUGGCCCAGCCAUGGCCCCUGCCUCUGCAGAGUGACUUGGGGGCCGCUGAUCUGGGCCAGUGGUGGGCGUGGGCACCAGGCAGCAGAGGAGGCAAGGCAGGUGACAAGCUGGUGUGCAAGGGACGGGAGGGAUGGACGGAGUGAGGCGAGCCCUGGUGAGAGGAACUUACGGCCUCUCUGGCAGAUACAUGGGGAGGACAGUGCCUGCCCCGUGCGUGGACGCAAGGCUUCCUGCUCCUAAAACUCGGGCCACCACCACUUCCUGAGCAAACCCAGCAGAGUCCCUGCACCUUGCCCCAGGGGUCUCAGGGUAACGGCUCUGCUAGGGAAUAAGAGGGGUGCUGGACCCACUGUUUGCCGAGGGGCCUGGCAGAGCACAGCCCCCCGCAGGGACGCAUGGGGGAGGCUGGGAAGAGGCCUCCUCAUCCUGCUCAGGCUCCCAGAUCUUCCCACACAGGGCAGAUGUCUCCGGAGACAGACAGAGAAGCCAACCAGAACGUUCAAGUGCUGUGAGCCGGCCUUGGUGGGCCGGAGUGUUAAUCACCGCACCGUCAUCCUCUCCAGGAGGCUGGGCGAAGGAAGUGAGUCAGUAGGAACGAGCCCCACGGCAGUGCUUCGGGCGUAGGAGUGAGCAGUUGCGUCCCUGUCUCCGUCCUCACUGCCUUGCUCCCACCCGCACAUCGCGGGCCUCCAGGGCUCACCUGCUGUCAGCGAGUCUGUGGUUGGCCCCACACCAGGUGCUGGCUGGAAGCCAGGCGGCAUGUGGGGGACCUGAAAUCCAAAUGCCCCCUGGCUCUCAGACCCAGUCGGGAUGGGGAGAGAGGCAGAAAGGCCCCCGGGGCGGGUCACACGCCAGCUGCCUGUGGGUCACACUCUUCCCCCAGAGGUCCAGGCAGCUUCAUGCCGGGGAACAGCAGAAUUCCGCCCUCAGACCUGGGGCAGCAAGCGGGUGGUGUUGUCUCUGCGGCCCAGGUUUCUGCACCCACCGAGCUCGGGUGCCUUGCUCAGGCCAGCUCAGGGACCACUGGGGAAAACCUCUCAGGGGCCAGCGCAGGCCCCGAAGGCAGAUGUCCAGGUCAGACUGCUCCCUGACGGCUCCUUCCGUGCUGCGGGGCUGCGGUGGAGCCCCAGGCCUCCUGUGGGCCAGGCUCUCUCCUUACCCUGUCACAUGCCUUGGUUUGGGGUUCACUGUUGCUGGAGGGCUAUGUGGACCCCGGUGAGGACAGCAGCCCCUGGCAGUCCUCGGGCACCCAAGCCACUGUGCCUUGGAUUCAGCAUAGCAGGUUGGGAACCAUUGCGCGACCCUGGGUGCUAGUGGGUGUGCCUGAGUCCCAGGCAUGUGGAGGUCGGCACUCCUGCCUUGCAUGCUUGGGGCAGGGACAGGGGUCCCCCGGGACUCCCUGUGGAUGACACUCACCCCUUUCACCUCCUACCUAGGACGCGGUUCACCAAUCCCCCAAAGGGACCUGCAGACCACUAUGCCGGCACAGAGUUCCGGUGCCACCCGGGCUGGCCCUGUCCUCUCAGGUGUGCUGCAGCAGGUGGGCGGGAUCGGGGCCCAGGCCUGUCUGGCCGGGCCGGUCCACGGCCUCUGCUCAGCAGCGGUGUCUUCAGGAGGACCCUGCUGCACUCACAGCGGCCGCGCGUGUCAUCUCUCUGGUUCUCCGUGUCUGUCCAUGACACGUCCUGUGCCGCCCGGGGCACCCGUGGACGUCUGCUGUCCGUGUCAUGGCUGAGGACGGGGCUGAAACUUCCUGCCCCGGGGUAGCUCCCACCUCGCAGGGCCAGCCUCCUCGUGGCUGCGUCCUUGUGGCCAGCCCAGCUCCGUGACCCUGUCAUGGCUGAGGCAAGAGGACCACAGCAAGCACGGGGCCAGCCGGGGCUACCUAGCAAGACUCCGACUCAAGAACAACGGCAAAAAACAGGUCUAUCAAAACCACCUAGAAGAAGUGUGAAGGACAAGGCCGCGGACUGGAGAGGCGUGUUUGCAAUGCCCAGAGUAGACAGUAUAAUUACAUAGAAAAUGAAGAUUUCCCACAAAUUGGCAAGAAAAAGAGCAGCGGUGGCCCCUGGAGAAAGGGACGCGGGUCCACAGAUCCAAACCAGGCAAGCCAGGCACCGGAGCACACACCUGUGAUCCCAGCUCUCAGGAGGCUGAGGCAGGAGGAUCACCAUGAGUUUGAGGCCAGCCUGAGGCUACAUAAUUGAAGGCCACUGAGGUACAUAGAAAGACCCUGCCUCAAAAACCCAAACAACAGCAAGACAAAAAACGCAGGCAAAGCUAGACACAUGUACAUACUUUAGAAUGUUGGACAAGAAAAGAAAGCUAAGGCUCAUGGAGGAAGGCAGCAGAGAGGCCAGUGUGCUAGGUGGGAGCAGAGGAGCUCUUUGCAGUUGGCCUGGGGUUGGUGGGGCAGGUGUCCCGGCAGGCUGUGCAGGUGGCCCUGGAUUCCAGGCCCCUUCCCCAGUCCCAGCCAGGUCCGGCCAGGCGGGAGAACAGUGGCACAAGGAUGGGAUGACUUGAACUCAGAGACCAGAAAACCCACAGAAAUAAGGCAGCACCUUCUGGCCUUCCCAGACUAAGCUGGACCUUUAGAGUUGGUCGUUUGGCAGGAGCUGAUGAGGAAAAGGGAUCUCAGGCCAGGGGCUGGGUGCAGCAGGUACCCAGAGGCACAGUUGGGGUGCAGGAGGCUGGGAGUGGGUGCCCGUGAGCCCUGAGCUCCUGGAGCCCUGCUGGGCCGGGCCCACCUCUGCUUUGUGGCUGGCAGCUGGGGGCUUCCAAGGGAAGGGGCCACAUCCUUCAAGUCACAGGACACCGCCAGGGAAAGUUUCCUUCCCUGGGAGGGCUGCCAGCCCGGGCUGACACCACCAGCCCACUCAGGCCAGAUAUAAGUCCGGGCCUCAUCCUCCCUGUGUCCCCACACCUGCCCUCACCCUGAGGCCAAAGCAGAUACAGGCUCUGUGUGCACCUGUAGGUGGCCAGGGUCACCCCUCAGAGACCAGCACGGUCCAGGGAGGAGGAGGAGCCGGCGCGCCAGGGCUGGGAGCUGAACUCCGGGCAGUCAGGCAGCCAGUGGCACUGAGGCAGUGGGGGAAGGAUCAGAGGGACCAGGAGUUGCCACUUCUGUCCCCCAAGGUGACCUUGAGCACAAGGCCUGUGUGGGAAGGGUCUGCUUUCAACCCUAACAGCCCGUGACAUCGCCUGCCCUUGGGGUGCUGCCCCCAGCUGGGUGCACUGGUCCCUGGGACUGGCCUGGCUCGGCCUCCUGCACUUGACCUUGAGGAGGUGGGACAAGCAGCUGGGUCCCCAGGGAGCCACUGCCCGGAGCAGAUUCUGCACUCAGGCCUUGACCAGGCUUCCUGGAACUGGCCUGGGGAGGGGCUCCAGCCAGGGCAGCAGCCGUGUCUGUCCCCAGGAGAUGCCUGGCUUCCAGUACUACAGGCCAUCGUGGUUUCUGAGCAUGGGUUUUGAAAGGCAGGAUCGAAUCCAGGCCCCGACUGGCUGCCACUGGCCAGCGCUCAACUUGGGGCAAAUGGGACCCCGGGCUAUGAGAAGGCGAGGAGCACACAGCCCAGAGGACACCAGCGAGGAGUCUCGUGCCCCAGAGGCUGCCCUGUCUGCUCCGGGUGACCUCGGUGCUUUGUGCUCGGGCUGCUGCUGGUGCCCCGUCCCCCGAGGCUCACUGUUCUGUGUCACCAGGCUGGCCAGGGGUCCCUGGCAGCUGCAGGCUCUCAUGAGUGACAGAGAGAGCUGGGGACUCUGGGGGUCUCGGACAGCAGUCCUACAGACUCCACCUCUCCCCCAGCAGCCGUGCUUCUGUCCGGAGCAGCCCGCCCAGCCGCUUCCCUUUUCUCAUUCUGUCAUUGUGCUGGGCCCUGGGGUGGGCACCCGGCGCUGGGGUGGGACAGGCCGGCUGGGAUAAGGAACGGAUGAGUCACACAGCAACACUUCGGCCCAGAGAGAGCCAUAGAGGGGACAGGGGAGCACCAGCCCGGGGACAGGCCCAGCGUGGUGCCUGCGAGGGCCUGAGGCAGGCACCAGGACAGGUGCUGAAGGCGUAGGCAGAGUGGCAGGGUUAGCACGCUGGGCUGGGCUGUGGGGUCGGAGCUUGCUGCUGCAGGCAGAGCCUAGACUGCCUGGUCCCUCCCAUGGGCAGACUGCUUGGGUGAUGGGAACCGGUGGCCAAUGAAGGUGGCCUUGUCACCCACACUCUGGCUGGGAAGCUUCCAGGAACAGAGACACAACUGGUUCACGAUGCAGCCCAGUGGAGUAGGAAGGUGGGUGGGGCUGCCCGGGUGAAGACACCAGGAGCUGUGCUCUGGGGCACAGGGCAGGGUGGGCAGUGCCCUCUGACCCCUGUGCCUCUUGCUAGCUUUAGGGUACUGUUGCUCCCCGCCCCAGCCUGGAUCUGAGCUGUUUCCAAAGCCAGGAAUGUUCAUCCUUGCAGGAGGCCCAGGGGAGGUUGUGAGGAGGGGGCCCCCAAGACCCAAGGCAUAGUGGGGAGGCCAGGGUGAGCGGUACCUGGUGUGGCAGCUCUCUGAGGCAGGAGGGGAGGCCCACAGAGGGUGUGCAACACACAGGCGGUGCAUGUGCUGCAGGACGGGCUGGUGGUACCAGAGUGUCAGAGUACACAGCACGUGUUUACAUUUUUAAAUUGUUACCGUAAAAGUCACACAGCCAUUCACCCCCAGAAUACUCCCCAGAGCUCCAAACACACUCAUACCCCCAUUCUUGCCACUUUCUGAAACAGCUCUGGAAGUCUUUUGCACCUUCACAAGGUGUAAUCAACAAUACAGUGACUGCUGCUGCCCAGGGUCCCCCAAAAGAAAGGCAGCUCAUGAGAACACAACGCUGUGUGUUCAUCCACCUUGGUCACCGGACCUGGCACCGUGUGACCCCAGGCUCCUCCCCAAAGUCAAAAUGACCAUGACGGAAACAUUUUGUAUCCAUUCAGGACCUUGAGGCAGCCAGGACGGCGCAGCUAAAGACACCCAGGAAAGAGGGCUCCAGAGCCGCUGCAGGAGGGGCUGGGACGUGGGAGGAGGGUGUUUGAAGCAAAGGGGAGGAUUUUCAGGGGUUUCCAUGGUGAUGUGUGCCCUUUACUAUAAUACAGAUUAAAUGUUCAGGGUGUAGUUUCCAGUCACACCUCGUUUAUGGGAACUUGUGCCUGUGCCUACCCUGCUGAAGUAAACCGCACCCACCCAGGACCCUCUCCCUGCCUGGCACGGCUAUGGCACACAGGCAGGGUGAGCUGCUCAAGGCCAAGGAGCUUGGGGCAGAGCAGCCCCUCCUCCCGGCGGGUGGCAAAGCCUGCACACGCAUCCCACAGAGCAUCUGUCAGGGCCUGAAGGGCUUGGACCUGCCCAACAGCCCCAGCAGCCUGGGCACCGCCGGGAAAGUUUUCAUCUUAUGCGGUCUCGUACAGAGCAACAAAGAGAGCACACAGCUGGAGAAAGAUCCCCUUCCUCUGUCCACUGCAGAGGACGUAGACUGGCGGCCAGGUGAGGAUAGCGCUGAGUGUCCCCAUACUGCCGUCCCACAGGGCCCGUUUGUGACCUUCAGCAACACCGCAUUCUCCGGAGCUUACACCUUCUUCUGACAUCCUUGGUUUCCCACACUGUCCUUUCCUGGUCCCAGACCCCGCCCAGGAUACACAUGACCUUUCACCUCCUCAGGCUCCGCCUAGCUGUGAGUUUCUCAGCGUCUCCUUGCUUUGACCUUGAUGGCUUCAAGGAGGGCUUGUCAGGUGUUUUGCAGAAUGUCCCAGAGAGGCCAUCUGCUGCAGUCUGGGGUUUCUCAUGGUGGGACUGAGCUGGGGUUCUGGGAGGAGUCCAGAGGUGACCUCCCACCCGCUCCCGUCCCGGGCACUCGUGCUGUCUGCCCGGAUGGCCGCCGCAGUGCUGCCCAGGGCCCCCGGCUGUCGCACUGCUGUGCGCAGUUCUGCUGUAACAGGAGCUCGGGCUCCUUCCCCAGGUGUGUUUACCAGGCCCUGACUUAGGUCACUGUGGAUCUGUGGCUUUAGGCUCCGGCCCAGUGCCACCCUCUCGUCACUGGACCCCUUCCAGCCCUGGCCGCUGGCCGCACCUGCCGUUCACUCCCAGGUCACUCUGCCCUGCCCUCCCACGUGGGAGGCUCUGUCUGGGUGCUGACCACUUCCGGUCCAGCACCAGCUGGGGCACUUUCUGCCCAGUCCUAGCACGGCCAUUUCCCCCAGAUCCUUGUUUCAGAGAGGGUGGCAGACAGCACGACCCAGAGCGGGGGUGCUUCCCAGUUCUCACGGCUGACGGAGCAGAGAGACACGCGUGUGUGGUGACCUGAGUGUGUGUACCUACGUGUGGAUAUUUUACACGCAGCUCUGUGUAUCUUUGUGAGUUCACACUGCUGUCUCUGAUGCAAACCUUUUACCGCUGGGAUCAUCCUGGAUCCAAUGCCUGCUCGUCUGCAAGCUCAGAGCUCCCUUCGCACAGGGUAUCAGAAAGUUCCUGAGGCUUCACCGCACACAAUCUUAAGGGCACUUUCCAAUUUGAAGCCACAGGGUCUGCAGGAUCUAAGCUCUGCUAGCUGCAACCCUCUAACUGCAGCCCUCAGGGUCUCUACCUCCCUCGCCCACACCCCCACCCCUGCAAGCACGUGGCCUCUGUGCUGGGCCUCUGUGCUGGGCUCCCUCCUGCCUAGGCCUCAGCAGGAGCCGCUCUUUUCCUGCUCACUCACCGCACUUCCUUCGGGCCACGCACUGAAGUCACUUCCUUUAGGCCACACGCUGAGGUGACUUCCUUGCACAAGCUCCUGGCCUUGUGGUCUCCAGUAGUGCAUAGAUCUGUGCUUUCCUCCAGUUAUGCCUGCUUUUCUGUUCCACAGUCCUCACCUGUGUUUAUCACCAUGUUUUCAGAAAAAAGUCAACGAAGUGUUCCCCUUCGGGAGGUGCGAGGGAACCAGCUUACUCUGAGAACUGAUACUUAGGGAGCAGCCUCAAGAAUUUUCCCUGCUCAUUCUGAUGAACAGAGUUGAUAAGAAAAAGUUCUUUUUUUUUUUUUUUUAGUACUGAGAGUUGAACCCAGGGCCUUUGCACUGAACUA